rnacentral:tRNA from 1 species
GCCGACGUAGCUCAAUGGUAGAGCAGCGGUUUUGUAAACCGCAGGUUGCGGGUUCGAAUCCCAUCGUCGGCUCCA